rnacentral:rRNA from 1 species
CGAACGCUGGCGGCGUGCCUAAUACAUGCAAGUCGAACGAACUCUGGUAUUGAUUGGUGCUUGCAUCAUGAUUUACAUUUGAGUGAGUGGCGAACUGGUGAGUAACACGUGGGAAACCUGCCCAGAAGCGGGGGAUAACACCUGGAAACAGAUGCUAAUACCGCAUAACAACUUGGACCGCAUGGUCCGAGUUUGAAAGAUGGCUUCGGCUAUCACUUUUGGAUGGUCCCGCGGCGUAUUAGCUAGAUGGUGGGGUAACGGCUCACCAUGGCAAUGAUACGUAGCCGACCUGAGAGGGUAAUCGGCCACAUUGGGACUGAGACACGGCCCAAACUCCUACGGGAGGCAGCAGUAGGGAAUCUUCCACAAUGGACGAAAGUCUGAUGGAGCAACGCCGCGUGAGUGAAGAAGGGUUUCGGCUCGUAAAACUCUGUUGUUAAAGAAGAACAUAUCUGAGAGUAACUGUUCAGGUAUUGACGGUAUUUAACCAGAAAGCCACGGCUAACUACGUGCCAGCAGCCGCGGUAAUACGUAGGUGGCAAGCGUUGUCCGGAUUUAUUGGGCGUAAAGCGAGCGCAGGCGGUUUUUUAAGUCUGAUGUGAAAGCCUUCGGCUCAACCGAAGAAGUGCAUCGGAAACUGGGAAACUUGAGUGCAGAAGAGGACAGUGGAACUCCAUGUGUAGCGGUGAAAUGCGUAGAUAUAUGGAAGAACACCAGUGGCGAAGGCGGCUGUCUGGUCUGUAACUGACGCUGAGGCUCGAAAGUAUGGGUAGCAAACAGGAUUAGAUACCCUGGUAGUCCAUACCGUAAACGAUGAAUGCUAAGUGUUGGAGGGUUUCCGCCCUUCAGUGCUGCAGCUAACGCAUUAAGCAUCCGC